UGGGGAAUUUUGGACAAUGGGCGCAAGCCUGAUCCAGCAAUGCCGCGUGCAGGAUGAAGGCCUUCGGGUUGUAAACUGCUUUUGUACGGAGCGAAAAGGCUCUCUCUAAUAAAGGGGGCUCAUGACGGUACCGUAAGAAUAAGCACCGGCUAACUACGUGCCAGCAGCCGCGGUAAUACGUAGGGCGCGAGCGUUAAUCGGAAUUACUGGGCGUAAAGCGUGCGCAGGCUGUUUUGUAAGUCAGAUGUGAAAUCCCUGAGCUCAACUUAGGAACUGCGUUUGAAACUACAAGACUAGAAUAUGUCAGAGGGGGGUAGAAUUCCUGGUGUAGCGGUGGAAUGCGCAGAUAUCAGGAGGAACACCAAUGGCGAAGGCAGGUCUCUGGGCCAUUACUGACACUGAGGAGCGAAAGCGUGGGGAGCGAACAGG
rnacentral:rRNA from 1 species